rnacentral:lncRNA from 1 species
ACUUGGGGAUCAAGAGUCUUUUAAAAUAGUUCACUGUGGGCCAUCCUUUUCAUGUUCUAUUGCCUUUCCAAGAUGAUCCCCUUCAAAUCCUUCCUCUUCCAAUAUCUCAAUCUCCACUUCCUUUUUCCUCCUGAUUUUUGUUAGUUUCAAUCUUCAAUGACUCCAACGAAGCAAUUAGCCCAAUGUUUGGGAAGAAAUCAUCUAGAAAUUCCUACCCCCAAGGUUCGCAAAAUCAAGCCUCACAUGGAAGAAUGGAAUACAAAGCUUAGAAAUCUUCCUCAACAAAUAACCAAGGAAGACAUUAUGCAACCUUCCUCAUACUCUCCCUCUCCUCAGCCAUGUCUAUCAAGGGUAGCUUUCUCAAAGCAGAUAGUCAUAAUUGGAAAAAAAUAGAUUUUAAUUUCUUAGACCGAGAAGGGUUCUCCAUUAGAAGAAAUUGAAAAAGAUGGGUUGGGAGUAUAUGUGCUCCCUAGAUAUCUCAAUCUACCCCAAACUCGUUCAAGAGUUCUAUAGAAAUGUUAAAUUCAUGAUUGGGGAUUUGAUGUCCAAAGUAAAAUCAUUGGUCCUAGGUUUAAUUUUGAUGAAUAACAAAAUAUUUGAGUAUAUGACUAUUACUAAUGAGUUGUUU